rnacentral:rRNA from 1 species
CGGACGGGUGAGUAAUGUCUGGGAAACUGCCUGAUGGAGGGGGAUAACUACUGGAAACGGUAGCUAAUACCGCAUAACGUCGCAAGACCAAAGAGGGGGACCUUAGGGCCUCUUGCCAUCGGAUGUGCCCAGAUGGGAUUAGCUGUGGUGGGGUAACGGCUCACCAGGCGACGAUCCCUAGCUGGUCUGAGAGGAUGACCAGCCACACUGGAACUGAGACACGGUCCAG